GUUGUAUAGUCAAGUAAUUAAGUGCAUGUGGUGGAUGCCUUGGCAGUCAGAGGCGAUGAAAGACGUGAUAGCCUGCGAAAAGCUCCGGGGAGGCGGCAAAUAUCCUUUGAUCCGGAGAUGUCUGAAUGGGGGAACCCACCUACUUUAAGGUAGGUAUUGCAACAUGAAUACAUAGUGUUGCAAGGCGAACGAGGGGAAGUGAAACAUCUCAGUACCCUUAG
rnacentral:rRNA from 1 species